GAUGAACGCUAGCGGCAGGCCUAAUACAUGCAAGUCGGACGGGAUCUAUCGGAGAGCUUGCUCGAAGAUAGUGAGAGUGGCGCACGGGUGCGUAACGCGUGAGCAACCUACCCAUAUCAGGGGGAUAGCCCGGAGAAAUCCGGAUUAAGACCGCAUAACACUGUGAAUUGGCAUCAAUUUACAGUUAAAUAUUUAUAGGAUAUGGAUGGUCUCGCGUGACAUUAGCUAGUUGGUGAGGUAACGGCUCACCAAGGCGACGAUGUCUAGGGGCUCUGAGAGGAGAAUCCCCCACACUGGUACGGAGACACGGACCAGACUCCUACGGGAGGCAGCAGUAAGGAAUAUUGGUCAAUGGGCGGAAGCCUGAACCAGCCAUGCCGCGUGCAGGACGACUGCCCUAUGGGUUGUAAACUGCUUUUGUCGAGGAAUAAACCUAUCUACGAGUAGAUAGCUGAACGUACUCGAAGAAUAAGGAUCGGCUAACUCCGUACCAGCAGCCGCCGUAA
rnacentral:rRNA from 1 species